UACGGGGGGAGCAAGCGUUGUUCGGAUUUACUGGGCGUAAAGGGCGCGUAGGCGGCCACCGCAAGUCGGUUGUGAAAUCUCCGGGCUUAACCCGGAACGGUCAAUCGAUACUGCGGGGCUAGAGUGCAGAAGGGGCAACUGGAAUUCUCGGUGUAGCGGUGAAAUGCGUAGAUAUCGAGAGGAACACCUGCGGCGAAGGCGGGUUGCUGGGCUGACACUGACGCUCAUGCACGAAAGCGUGGGGAGCAAACAGG
rnacentral:rRNA from 1 species